rnacentral:lncRNA from 1 species
CACACGCCCCUAAUCCUUUACUGGCUGUAACAAGAAAGGCAUCUGACUUUAAUUUAGACUGGCUGCCACCAGUCUGAAACAGGAAAGCAACGUGCAAUGCUAGAAAGUAACAAGAGAGCAGCUAUGCCGAACAAAAGCAAAGCCAUUUAAAAUGUACCACAGAAUAAAAUAAAAAAUUGCAUCUCUUGGAAAAUGCCGCAUUGAGUAGCUCCAUCCCCUGUACGGAGCAGUCUCGUUGUACUUGCCCGGAUGUACCGCGAGGUCAGCAGUCUCCCAUGAGACUGUCACUUAAGUGAAGACAGACUCUUAGAGCCAGCCGCCAGAGAGAGCUGAAGAACAAAUCAGACUAGCACAUCCCUCUCACCCCAUGUG